UACGAAAUGUUAGUUUGAGCUUAAACAACGUGGUUACGGAUAAUCGAAUAUUGUGUGGUCUAAGUGCCGGCCCCACCGCCCGCUUGCCAUGCAGAACAAAACAAAACGAUCGAUUGAAAGAAAUGUUUUAGUUGUUUCUUUUUAAUGUGAGCGAGCGGGGUAAUGAAUAACUCGUGUAUAGUGAGCGGUAUUACAAUCGCUAAGAUGUAUGGUUGGCUAACGGAAACUUUGUGUUCAAUAACUAAAUAACAUAAUCAAAAGAAAAUUUAAUUAAAAAUUCUAUUUCACAAUAUAUAUAAAGAAUGGUGAAAUAUUAAAUACGAAUGAAAGAAAACCAAUGAAGUAAACGACAAGAAUUAAAUGAUUCUCAAAUUGCUUGUUAAGGUCAAACAAACACUAAGAAAACUCAACCAAGAAAAUGAUGCAAAGCAUAAUCAAAAAAAAAAAAAAAAAUGGUAGUGAACAGGAAAGAUCCCAAGAAAUAAACAGCAACCAAAGUCAACAUAAAUAAAAUCCAUGACAAUGAUCUUUGAACAACAAACUAGAGGCCAAAAGCAAUGAAAACAACAAAAAUUAAACUAAAGCAGAACAAAUACAGAGCGACAAAUAAAUACAACUCUACAAAAAACCAGAUUAAAAGUUUUCAAAGUAAAGUGGAAAAAUAAAUAAAAAAUAAUUGGAAUAAGUGCGGAAAAGAAGAGCACACAAAAAAGCUUAAGCAUACGUUUGUAAUGGAGUGUAAUGUUUAUUUAAUUUUGAAAAAUAAAACAAAGUAAAUAAUUUAAAACAAAAAUAUCUGGAUCAAACAAAAUAACCGCCUUUGUGAAAAAGAAGUGCUAAAACGUAUUUUUCGACUCAAAAAAAAAA
rnacentral:sRNA from 1 species